rnacentral:rRNA from 1 species
GAUGAACGCUAGCGGCAGGCUUAACACAUGCAAGUCGAGGGGUAGAAAUAGCUUGCUAUUUUGAGACCGGCGCACGGGUGCGUAACGCGUAUGCAAUCUGCCUUGUACUGGGGAAUAGCCCGGAGAAAUCCGGAUUAAUGCCCCAUGGUAUUUUUGUGUGGCAUCACACGAUUAUUAAAGAUUUAUCGGUACAAGAUGAGCAUGCGUUCCAUUAGUUGGUUGGUGUGGUAACGGCACACCAAGACGAUGAUGGGUAGGGGUUCUGAGAGGGAGAUCCCCCACACUGGUACUGAGACACGGACCAGACUCCUACGGGAGGCAGCAGUGAGGAAUAUUGGUCAAUGGGCGCAAGCCUGAACCAGCCAUGCCGCGUGCAGGAUAACGGCCCUAUGGGUUGUAAACUGCUUUUGAAUGGGAAGAAUGUGAUGUUUGCGAGCAUUAAUGACGGUACCAUUAGAAUAAGCCACGGCUAACUACGUGCCAGCAGCCGCAGUAAGAC